GACGAACGCUGGCGGCGUGCUUAACACAUGCAAGCCGAACGGAAAGGCCCUGCUUUUGUGGGGUGCUCGAGUGGCGAACGGGUGAGUAACACGUGAGUAACCUGCCCUUGACUUUGGGAUAACUUCAGGAAACUGGGGCUAAUACCGGAUAGGAGCUCCUGCUGCAUGGUGGGGGUUGGAAAGUUUCGGCGGUUGGGGAUGGACUCGCGGCUUAUCAGCUUGUUGGUGGGGUAGUGGCUUACCAAGGCUUUGACGGGUAGCCGGCCUGAGAGGGUGACCGGCCACAUUGGGACUGCGAUACGGCCCAGACGCCUACGGGAGGCAGCAGUGGGGAAUAUUGCACAAUGGGCGGAAGCCUGAUGCAGCAACGCCGCGUGCGGGAUGACGGCCUUCGGGUUGUAAACCGCUUUCGCCUGUGACGAAGCGUGAGUGACGGUAAUGGGUAAAGAAGCACCGGCUAACUACGUG
rnacentral:rRNA from 1 species